rnacentral:rRNA from 1 species
GACGAACGCGGGCGGCGUGCCUAAUACAUGCAAGUAGAACGCUGAAGGAGGAGCUUGCUCUUCUGGAUGAGUUGCGAACGGGUGAGUAACGCGUAGGUAACCUGCCUGGUAGCGGGGGAUAACUAUUGGAAACGAUAGCUAAUACCGCAUAAGAGUAGAUGUCGCAUGACAUUUGCUUAAAAGGUGCAAUUGCAUCACUACCAGAUGGACCUGCGUUGUAUUAGCUAGUUGGUGAGGUAACGGCUCACCAAGGCAACGAUACAUAGCCGACCUGAGAGGGUGAUCGGCCACACUGGGACUGAGACACGGCCCAGACUCCUACGGGAGGCAGCAGUAGGGAAUCUUCGGCAAUGGACGGAAGUCUGACCGAGCAACGCCGCGUGAGUGAAGAAGGUUUUCGGAUCGUAAAGCUCUGUUGUAAGAGAAGAACGAGUGUGAGAGUGGAAAGUUCACACUGUGACGUAUCUACCAGAAAGGACGGCA